rnacentral:rRNA from 1 species
UACGGAGGGUGCAAGCGUUAUCCGGAUUCACUGGGCUUAAAGGGUGCGUAGGCGGAUAUGUAAGUCCGUGGUGAAAUCUCUGGGCUUAACCCGGAAACUGCCAUGGAUACUAUGUGUCUUGAGUGUUGUUGAGGUGAGCGGAAUAUGUCAUGUAGCGGUGAAAUGCUUAGAUAUGACAUAGAACACCAAUGGCGAAGGCAGCUCACUGGGCAAAUACUGACGCUGAGGCACGAAAGCGUGGGGAUCAAACAGG